rnacentral:rRNA from 1 species
AUGCAGUCGAGCGCCGCAGCAUAAGGAGCGACAGACGGGAGAGUAUCCGUGGGAACAAAAACUUUGGUUCGGAACAACCCAGGGAAACUUGGGCUAAUACCUUUCAACCCUUACGGGGAAAGAUUUAUCGCCGAAGGAUCGGCCCGCGUCUGAUUAGCUAGUUGGUGGGGUAAUGGCCCACCAAGGCGACGAUCAGUAGCUGGUCUGAGAGGAUGAUCAGCCUCACUGGGACUGAGACACGGCCCAGACUCCUACGGGAGGCAGCAGUGGG